UUAUUAUUAUAAUUUCGUAUGUAAAAACAAAAAAUAUUUAUUUAUUUAUUUUAUGUUAUCUAACUUAAUUGAAGAGAAAAACAUACAUAUACAGGGUGUUCCACAGUCACCGCCCCAAAUGAAAACCAUGGAUUCCUGAAGUCAUUUUAAGUCGAAAAACUUAAGAGGAAAUUGAUGAUAUCCCCCUAGAAUGUGUGCUUGAAGAAAAUAUUUCGGAUAACAUCAUGGCAACUUUGCCAAAACCGACCAACGUUUUGACUAAUUGUUUGGACACCCCAUCAACCUUCAAUUCAACACAGGAGAUUGAUGAUAUCCCCCUAGAAUGUGUGCUUGAAGAAAAUGUUGAAGCGGUAAUUAACGUGGGAAUAGACGACGCAAUUAGUUCGCCAAAACGAAAUAACUUUCGUGAAAACGAAGGGAAAUUAAUUGCAAGAGAAGUUCAAACGGAUAUCCAAUUUUAGGAUAUAACAGAAAUUGAAAUUUUGGACAUUAAAACUAUGGAUAAGUCUGUUAUGACUGAUCCUGAAAUUUCAACGACUACAUAUAAGUCUAUAGGAGUUCAAACAGAUAUCCAAUUGGAGGAUAUAACGGAAGUUGAAAUUUUGGAUAUCUCGCAUAGUUCUCUAGUAAUUCAAACUGAACUGUGCAUGGCUGACAUCGAAAUUUUCGAAAUGAAACUAAAAGAAGCCCAAUAUAAACUGGAUAUGAAGGAUCAAAAAAUUGCAGAGUUACAAAAGGAGAUUACAGCUAAGAAAAUGGGGAUGGACUUUUUUCGGGAUGAUGACAACAAAACAAAAUAUUUUUCAGGAUUGCCUUUUUUUUAACACUUAAUACUAUUUUUUAUGCCAUAGAACCCAAUCAUCCACAUUGUUUAGCUAAAAAUCUAAAUAAAUUUCAGAUGCUCAUCCUGACACUGGUGAAGUUGCGACUAUAUCUCCCAUUCACUUUACUUGGAUACAUUUGUGGAAUUUCGACGCCAACAGCGUCAAAAAAAUUUCAUGAGUGUAUCCUAGUUUUAAUAUGGAGAUGAAUGCAUUCAUCAGAUGGCCUGAUAUCAACGCAAGAAAAUACUUCACGCCGUUCAGCUUCAAAAAUCUUUUCGGCGAUAAAAUAGCGGUGAUUAUAGAUUGCUUUGAAAUCAGAAUAGAGAGGUCCGGAGAUCCAGUGGCAGGAGCGGCAACUUACUCGUCAUAUAAGAGCUCCGAAACCAUCAAAUACUUGAUUGGAAUAGCUCCAAGUGGGAGCAUUAGCUAUAUUUCAAAAGGAUAUGGUGGCAGGACCAGUGACAAGUGUGUUGCCGAAAACUCGGGUUUCUUGGACUUCAUUAAACCAGGAGAUAUAGUGCUAUCUGACCGAGGAUUCAUAUUUAAUGAGGCGGUCAAAAGAAAAGGAGCAGAGUUGAGGACACCUGCAUUUCUGGAAGGAAAACCACAGCUUGACGCUUAUUCAGUUGAGUAUUCAAAAAAUUUAUCUACAGCCUUGUAUAUAAAAACUAUAGUACUAUCAUGAAUUCAAUCGACUGAAGCGCCGUCUGGUUCAAGAGAGCGGACCUAUUCCUGGAAUGAUUUAGGCAGGAGUGGGGGACUAGGAAUAAUCAGAUAAUGAAGGAGUCACCAAAAUGUUGGAAUAUUAUUUAAAUAUUGGAAUAUUAUUUAAAUUUUCAAUUUGGGGGGGAAUGUCACUAUUUAGCUUUGUAGAUAGAGAGAGAUAGGAAGAUGUAUAAGCAGAAAUGGAAGUUGUUUAUAAAAAAUAAUAAAAAAAAAAACAAAAACGUACAACCACGGUUACCCAUAAGUCAAAUUUUUUUUUUUUUUGUAAUUAAACAAUUUAGAUUUCUAAGAUCUUAUUUUGUUUUUGUUUUAAAAUAAAAUAAAAAAUGGGAAAUUAAAUACACAUUUCGAAAAAAAAACAAGGAAAAUAUAAAAAAGUUAUAAAAUUCUCCCAUCGGAACAUGAUGUCGAGAAACAUUUAAUAUUUUUUUAAUUUAAUUCAGAUUUCAAUUUUUUUUCAAAACGAAAAUUACAUAACCGUCAGAAACAAAGUAAACAAGUUCUAAAAUGUGUAAAAUAUUUAUUCGCAUCUUCUCAAGUAAUAGCGUUGUAAACUAAACACAUAGGUACAAAAUAAUGAAACAUCAAAUUUAAAAAGUGAUUUCGAUUUUAGUUAAAUUUGACGAAUGUGGCAAUCACGUGUGAAUUAAAAUUUAAAAUUGUAUUCUUCUUUGGAAAUGUUUGUUUUUUUUUGUAUUCUUCUUUUUAAAAUAUUUUUUUCUUGUUUCCUAGGUGAUUGCUGUCGAAUAGAAUAUUUUGUUUUGAAAACUUGAAUACAUUUUUGUUUUGUAUUUUUUAUUCUUACGCAAUGU